rnacentral:rRNA from 1 species
UGGGGAAUAUUGCGCAAUGGGGGGAACCCUGACGCAGCCAUGCCGCGUGAAUGAAGAAGGCCUUCGGGUUGUAAAGUUCUUUCGGUAUUGAGGAAGGUUGAUGUGUUAAUAGCACAUCAAAUUGACGUUAAAUACAGAAGAAGCACCGGCUAACUCCGUGCCAGCAGCCGCGGUAAUACGGAGGGUGCGAGCGUUAAUCGGAAUAACUGGGCGUAAAGGGCACGCAGGCGGUUAUUUAAGUGAGGUGUGAAAGCCCCGGGCUUAACCUGGGAAUUGCAUUUCAGACUGGGUAACUAGAGUACUUUAGGGAGGGGUAGAAUUCCACGUGUAGCGGUGAAAUGCGUAGAGAUGUGGAGGAAUACCGAAGGCGAAGGCAGCCCCUUGGGAAUGUACUGACGCUCAUGUGCGAAAGCGUGGGGAGCAAACAGGAUUAGAUACCCUGGUAGUCCACGCUGUAAACGCUGUCGAUUUGGGGGUUGGGGUUUAACUCUAGCGCCCGUAGCUAACGUGAUAAAUCGACCGCCUGGGGGAGUACGGCCGCAGGGUUAA